CGACGUGACUUUGCAAAGAAGGAUUAUGUAGAGUUUUAUCUAAGCGAGAAAAAAUUAAUCAGAAAUUAAUGCUUAAAACAGUAUUAUAAAUCAACGAAGGUGAAAUAUAAAAGUACUGCAAUUUCUUUCUGUUUCUAUAAUUGCUUUAUUCCUUAUUAAUUGCAUACACCUCUACUCAUAUUGUUUUAUUUCAAAAUAGGUGAAACUUGGACUUUAGCAUUCUGGUAGCUAUAGCAUGUAUCCAAGUUCUCGCAAGCUGUUUGAUUAAGUAUCUAAGUAAAGUUACUAUUGUAAGUUUAAAGCUAAAAUGAGCGGUAACCAACGUAGUUAUUCAGUUUCAACGAGCGCGUAUUAAGGCAUUUGAAAUAAUCCCAUCGAAGCAUAUAUUGCAAUAAUGAAAUAUUCUAUAACUGGAUGUUAUCAGAAGUUUAAGCAUAAAAAAAUAAUAAAAUGACAAAAGAUUUGUCAAAUCUAAAUAAAAUCAAAAUACUUUAUUUGGAACUCUCGACAACUAUUAACCCUCUUCUUCAGAAGCUAAAAAAAAGAUAUCUAAGUAGCAUUCUCUCAAUCGGAGGCCUAAUGUCUUUUCAUCACUCAAGUUUAUUUAUUCGUUUAACUACUUUGAAUGAAAUUUAAUUUUAUAAUCCUUUAAAAUCAUAAGGAUAUCUUACAGGAGAUAAAGUUGGGUAGAAAUCAUGGGAUUUCCGAUAUUCGUACUCGCAUUCCAAAACUCGCUGGUACUCUUUGUACAUCAUUGAUCGUUCAUAUAGAAACUUCAUCUUUCUAUUCCAAUUAUCCAUUGCUUUGAGGUAAUUUUUAGAUCCGGCGGCAAAACAUUUCUCCAUUUUUUCAGGCAAAGACUGGAAAAGAAGGCAGGUUUCCAGUAAAGAAGGAACACAAUCUCGUAAAAUAUGAACCUUAUCACGCAGUGGACGAGGAAUGUCUUGUAAUCCUUGAAUGUCCAUUGGACUCCACCGUGUUAAUUGAGCCAGGUCACCGACAAAGGUCUUGGUUCCAUCAGCAGCAGUAUAAUAAGCCUUUUUCUCAGCUCUUGUUAAAAUGUACCCCCAACCAUAUUCAGUGUUUGUAAUAUUUUCUGGUAGAGGAGGGCAAGUAAUCAUGGCUGCAUUAAAAUUUAAAGAAUGAAUCCAUUCGUUCAUCGCUAAUACGCUGGGCGCUUCAAAAAGAUAGCACUCAUUUCCUGGAAUAUUUAGAUAAAAGACAUUAUUGCGAUUAGAAUUAAUUGAUGGAGGUAAAUUGGGAGAUGCCAAGCAAGAUUGCAAGCCAAAUUCUCUAUGGAUGGGGCUAACAUUUGAGCAAGCAUUUGGAUCUAAAUGAUCUGACUUAUAAAAGAUUAGUUUUCCACUAUCGACAAUACAGUACUUUUUCUUCCAAUAACCUGCUACCCAUCUAUUGUUUUUGCUUAAAACCAUUUUCUUAUAUGAAAUCAUGCCUCGUCGGUGCCAUGGUAACCUGUUAUGAGUCUUUUCUUCUUGCAUAUGAUGAGUGUAAUUAAACACCGAAAAAUGUGGUCUACCAUCUAUAACUGAUGGUUCAGGAAGAUCAAUCUCCUUUCCUGCGUAAAUUCCUCCAUUCUCUUCAUUCAAAACAAACGAAGAUUCCUUAAAAGCAUCACUUUCAAGACUCGUGCUGUUUUUGUUUCCAGAACUCUCCUGCUUUAGUAAUUUUGAACUUUUCAUUAAUUCAGAUAUCAGAGAUGAUCGAUUCCUUUUGGGAGUCAAAUCACCUCUUACUUGGUUGUGCAACUGUGCUUGCACGGCAUUUGGUACUGCAAAUGGAGACUUCAGAAACGUAUCAUAAUAUUCUUUUAGCAUGCAUUCAAGUAUGAAACCGAUAUCGCUUGGUAAAUUGCUCCACGUUGAGAAAAGCAAUUUGGCAAACGUUGAUCGGUUCUUCUUAUAUUUGAGCCAAUGCUUUUUGUCCUCCUUCGACAAAAUACAAACUGAAUCUGGAGAUAUGAGAGGACGAAGUUUCUCGAGAGCAUAUUUCACAAAAGUUUCCAUCGGAACGACAUAAGAAUUGAGCUUUUUAGAAUAGGUUGAUUUAUGUAAAUCAAU
rnacentral:lncRNA from 1 species